rnacentral:tRNA from 1 species
GUCCAGCUAGUUCAGUCGGUAGAGCAUGAAACUCUUAAUCUCACAGUCAUAGGUUCAAGCCCCACGUUGGGCA